rnacentral:lncRNA from 1 species
GCUCGCGCUCCCUCGCGCCGGCGCCGGCUCCCCAGCCCAAGCCGGGCAGGGCCGGGCUUUAUUAAUAUGCUAAUUGUCCUGCUAGUGGGAGGGGAGAGCCGUGUCAAAGUGACCCGGGAGAGCGCGCAGCAAGCGACGACGUGCGUGCGCCGCGCGGCGGGCGGGCGGCGAGGGGCUGGGAGCGCUCGGGGAACGGCAUGCAUGUGACGCAGCUUUUAAAAAAGGAGACGGAGGCAGAGACCCCAGAGAGGGAGGGCGAAGGGGAGGGCUUGGAGGCGCAGCCGCGCGCUCGGUGUCCGUCCUCCGGGUGCCGCCGGAUGGGGAGUCUGGCUGAGCCGGAGCGGGAGCCGCGGCUGGGGGAGGCGGAGCCGGGGUGGGCAGUGUGGUGUAUCUCUCUCCACCCCGGGCCGCGCUCCGGGAGGGAAAAGGGACUGCAGACCCCCUGUCCGUGCUCCCUGCUGAGACGCCAGCCUUCUUCUGGAGGCCCCUUGUUUCGCGUCCCUACCCUAGGCUGGAUGGGUUUUUGCUGAGGGAGCAUGAAAUGAUGGAACGGUGCAGAGUCCAGGGAUUGAAAAGAAGGCCUGCCUAGGAAUGGAGACCCUCCCCACCAUGUGCUUAGGAUGGGGGAUAGGGGAGCUUGUACACUGUGGAGUCUCCCACCCCCAGGUUUCCCCAUCUCCACCCCCACCAGGAGCAGAGAGGACCUGACUGAAGCCAUCCACACUCACACAAGUAUUUCCUUGGCAGCAUCCCCUGCCUGAGUGCACCCCCUCCCUGCAUUCUCCCAGACAAAGGUCAGCACUAGAGGGAGUAGAGAGAACAUAAGGCAACAGAACACUGGCCCGAAAUUGUGGAUACCUAGGUUUGAACGCAAGAUUCGCUCCUCAAUACCUGAGUGAUUUGAGACAACUGACCACCCCACCUGGGACACUAGCUUUAUCCUCUGUAACCUAUGGCUUGGUGAGUAUCAAACUAGACAAUGUACACCCAGUCACGUAGCCCAGUGUCAGCCAGGCAGUCCUGUAAAUACGUGUUCUUUCUGCCCUUUUUUUUUUUUUUUUUUUAAGAUUAUCCAAUUCCAAGAGAGGAGGGGGCUGGAUUGGCAGGACAAUUUGAGAUGGUUUGGAGGAGGGGGAAUACCUACCUUGACCUCCUUCUCUCUUUUCUGUCCAUGAAUUUGCCUUCCUCCAAUCCUGUGACCACUUACGCCUAAGGCCACUCAUUCCAAACAACUAGCUUGGUCAGAUUCCAUGCUGACCAACACAAUGGUGAUCAUCUGGGUGGACAGGGGGACUACAACCCACCCUAUAAAGGUCUUUGCCUCCUGUGAAUCUGAGAUUUCCCUCUCCUAGAUUACACAUGUGGAAGGUAGAAGCUUAGGAAGGAAGAAAAAACUGCCUUACUUGAGCAUGCACUAAUGCCAGGCACUGCCCUAGGCCUUUUACACUUGCCGACUCAUUUACCUUUCAUGAGGACCUUUGGAAGAAGGUGCUAUUACCUCCAUUGAACAAGUAGGAAAACUGAAGUUCAGAGAUGAUAAUAAAUUUGAACUUGCCUGUAAAACACUGUUCUCCCUCUUCUUCACCUACUAGUUAAUGCUUCCUUAACACCUUAGUUCUAGCUUCACCUUCUCUGGGAAGAUUACCCUUCCCACUCCCACUGACACUAUAGCCCAGUUACCGGUAAGGAAAUACCAUCUCAGUACUGUUGAAUGGGUGGUUAAAAUAAGUGAUUGGGGCUCCUACAGGAACUCCAUUUAGGCAAGUUAGUUAACUUUGCCAAGGUAACAGAGCUAACAAGCACUUGACCCAUUGCUCCACUCCUUGCCUUACUUCUAGUGUGGAUCAGACCUGGGGAGGGAGAAGAGAACAUCUUUGGAGCAUCUCUGGGAAUUGUG